rnacentral:tRNA from 1 species
AGCCCCGUAGUCUAGUGGCCAAGGAUGCUAGCCUUUGGAGCUGGAGACCCAAGUUCGAAUCUUGGCGGGGCUA